rnacentral:rRNA from 1 species
ACGAACGCUGGCGGCGUGCCUAACACAUGCAAGUCGUAACGGUAACUUUUUAAAGAUUUCUUCGGAAUGAAUUUGAUUAAGUUAGUGGCGGACGGGUGAGUAACGCGUGAGUAACCUGCCUCUAAGAGGGGAAUAACAUUCUGAAAAGAAUGCUAAUACCGCAUAACAUAUAUUUAUCGCAUGGUAGAUAUAUCAAAGAUUUAUCGCUUAGAGAUGGACUCGCGUCCGAUUAGUUAGUUGGUGAGGUAACGGCUCACCAAGACCGCGAUCGGUAGCCGGACUGAGAGGUUGAACGGCCACAUUGGGACUGAGACACGGCCCAGACUCCUACGGGAGGCAGCAGUGGGGGAUAUUGCGCAAUGGGGGAAACCCCUGACGCAGCAACGCCGCGUGAAGGAUGAAGGUCUUCGGAUUGUAAACUUCUUUUAUUAAGGACGAAGAAAGUGACGGUACUUAAUGAAUAAGCUCCGGCUAACUACGUG